CACACUCUCGCCUAUUCCGCCUAACCUCUCGCUCCGUCGCUCGGUCGCUCCUCAGUCUCGUUAGCGAUCUCUGUCUCCGGCUCGCACUCUCAGUCUCCUCAGGCUCGCACUCUAACCCAGUCAACCCACCCUCUAACUCUCUCAGAUCGGCGACCUCUCUCUCUCAGAUCGGCGACCUCUCUCUCAGAUCGGCGACCUCUCUCUCUCAGACCGACUCGGCGACUAACGACCUGUCUCUCAGACCGACUAACACCCAUCGUUCUCCUCCACAGCAACAAGCGAGCAAGCCACCUCCGGUCCUCCACCUCCGGUCCCCUCAUCCGAUUCUUUACGCCGGAGUGAUCAGUAGCAAACAUUAUGAAGAGGCAAUCAAAAUCUGCUGCUACUAGUUCCGGUGCUAAUCCGAAAUCAACUUCUUCAUCUCAGUUUGUCACAGUUACUUUGGUAGUGCAAAUAUUUCAUAUAUGUUG